rnacentral:lncRNA from 1 species
CUCCCCACAAAUUCCACACAUGUUGUCACAGAGAUGACCACGCCCAGAUACUCAGAGACUGGAAGACUUGGCUCCUUGGUUUGGAAGCGGCACUGGCUGAGACUUGGUUCUUUGGAAAUAGACAAGGUCCCAUUCCAGGAGGAUUUUCAAGUAGAAGAUGAAUGGACAUCAACUAGGGACACUGAGAAUAAGGGCUUCAUGAUACAAUGUUUGGCUGUCUCUUGAUGGGGAAGGGCAAGUGUGCUCUUGUGGUCAAGUAGGGGAGAGGUGGGUUCUGUCAUGUGGAAGUUUCUUUGAAAUUGCGAAUUUCCACUCAUGGAACAAUGGUGCCAUUAUAAGCUCAGCACCAAGGAAUGUAAAUGUCGCAUUAAAACCUUCUUGAGGUAUCUGCCGUCUCACAAUAUAUAUGCUUCAAAGUGAUGCUACUGCAUUAUAAUAAAGUAUCCUUUUGAUGACAUAUGAUCUGACAGAGCAUUUAUGUGUACGAAACAUCUUUCAA